ACUUUUAUAGGACAACAGUAAUCCAUUGGUCUUAGGAACCAAAAAUCUUGGUGCAACUCCAAAUAAAAGUA
rnacentral:tRNA from 1 species